rnacentral:tRNA from 2 species
GUCGACGUAGUGUAGUGGUUAUCACGUCUGCUUUACACGCAGAAGGUCGCCGGUUCGAACCCGGCCGUUGACA